rnacentral:rRNA from 1 species
UACAGAGGGGGCAAGCGUUGUUCGGAAUUACUGGGCGUAAAGGGCGCGUAGGCGGCCUUCUAAGUCGAACGUGAAAUCCCUGGGCUCAACCCAGGAACUGCGUCCGAUACUGGAAGGCUUGAAUCCGGGAGAGGGAUGCGGAAUUCCAGGUGUAGCGGUGAAAUGCGCAGAUAUCAGGAGGAACACCGGUGGCGAAGGCGGCUUGCUGGGCCAGUUCUGACGCUGAGGAGCGAAAGCGUGGGGAGCGAACAGG